rnacentral:rRNA from 1 species
UUCUUUAUUGUAAAAAUUUUUUUAUACUUAGGUAGUAAGAGUAAUAGUCUCAGUAUUAUAUAAACUUGAAACUUAAAAAGCUUGGCGGUAUCACAUAUCCUUCCAGGGGAGCUUGUUUAUUAAUUUGAUAUUCCUCAAUUUAUAUUUACUUUUUUUUGAAUACAAGGAAAAGUAUCAGUUUGUGUAUUGCUGUCGUCAGUUUAUUUUGUAAAAAUUAUUUAUAAAAAACUUUGUAAUAACUAAAUUAUGAUGUCAAGUCAAAAUGCAGCCUAUGAAAAAGGUUUAAAAAGUGAGCUACGAUUUAUAAUAUUUAAUCUGAUUAAAUCAUGUAAUUGAUUUAUGAAGUUGGACUUGGUAGUAAUAAAAUUUAAAUUAGUGUGUUUUUAUGAAUAAGGUUUUGUGAUGCG